rnacentral:rRNA from 1 species
AACGAACGCUGGCGGCGCGCCUAACACAUGCAAGUCGAACGAGAAGCUGUAGCAAUACAGUUGUACAGUGGCGAACGGGUGAGGAAUACAUGGGUGACCUACCCUCGAGUGGGGAAUAACCAGCCGAAAGGUUGGCUAAUACCGCGUACGUUUCCCAGUCUGCGGAUUGGGAAGGAAAGCGAUGCCGUGGGUAUCGCGCUCAAGGUUGGGCUCAUGUCCUAUCAGCUGUUGGUGAGGUAACGGCUCACCAAGGCAACGACGGGUAGCUGGUCUGAGAGGACGAUCAGCCACACUGGCACUGCGACACGGGCCAGACUCCUACGGGAGCAGCAGUGAGGAAUAUUGCGCAAUGGGCGAAAGCCUGACGCAGCGACGCCGCGCGGGGGAUGAAGGUCUUCGGAUUGUAAACCCCUUUCGGGAGGGAAGAUGGGACGAGCAAUCGUUCGGACGGUACCUCCAGAAGCAGCCACGGCUAACUUCGUGCC